UACGUAGGGGGCAAGCGUUGUCCGGAAUUAUUGGGCGUAAAGAGCGUGUAGGCGGCCAGACAGGUCCGUUGUGAAAACUGGAGGCUCAACCUCCAGACGUCGAUGGAAACCGUCUGGCUAGAGUCCGGAAGAGGAGAGUGGAAUUCCUGGUGUAGCGGUGAAAUGCGCAGAUAUCAGGAAGAACACCUAUGGCGAAGGCAGCUCUCUGGGACGGUACUGACGCUGAGACGCGAAAGCGUGGGGAGCGAACAGG
rnacentral:rRNA from 1 species